rnacentral:rRNA from 1 species
CCUACGGGGGGCUGCAGUGAGGAAUAUUGGUCAAUGGGCGCAAGCCUGAACCAGCCAAGCCGCGUGCAGGAAGACUGCCCUAUGGGUUGUAAACUGCUUUUAUACGGGAAUAAGGAUUUAUACGAGUUAUAAGUUUUGCAUGUACUGUAUGAAUAAGCAUCGGCUAACUCCGUGCCAGCAGCCGCGGUAAUACGGAGGAUGCAGGCGUUAUCCGGAUUUAUUAGGUUUAAAGGGUGCGUAGGCGGCAAUAUAAGUCGGAGGUGAAAUCUUACAGCUUAACUAUAAGUUUGCCUUCGAUACUGUAGUGCUAGAGUACGAACGAGGUAGGCGGAAUGUGCAGUGUAGCGGUGAAAUGCAUAGAUAUUGCACAGAACAUCGAUUGCGAAGGCAGCUUACUAGGCCGUAACUGACGCUGAUGCACGAAAGCGUGGGGAUCAAACAGGAUUAGAUACCCCAGUAGUC